UAUACCUUUCCUUCUUCAACUUUUUUUUCUAAGGAAAAGCAAAACUUCAUCCAUGAAAGUCUCUUCAUCGCUGCUCGAUUAACUAUGAAAUUGAGAAAAAAAAUCCAUGAAAACAUCUGUCUUCUUCGUUCUUCUCGAUUAACUUAACAUAUCACCGAAAAAAAUACAGGAAAAUGAAGAUUUGUUUUCAUCCAUGACAAAGGUGGUAGCUGAUGAACAAGAUAAAACGACGAAACUUCGAAGAGACUUCCCGAGUGCAUCUGAUUAUAUUUUUUGUGAUGCUUACCUCGCACAAAGAAAUUCUGUACUCAGGUAACAUAUGAUCAAUUGAUAAUUUUUUCAAUUUUAGCUUAAUUGAUGGAAUGAAGGAAUUGAUUAUAUAGUCACUCAUGGGUGACCCAAAAUCUGGUGAUACCCAAGUUUCAUAUGAAGAAGAAUCACGACCUAAUGAUUCGUGGAAUGAAUCUCAAGGUGAUUUUUAUUCUCUCAUCAUUUUGUGUUUUUAGAUGUUUGACGGCCUGGUUAGUAAGAUAGGGUGUAUAUUCAUGGAUUUACCUGGACUGAGAUUUUGAUGAAAAUUAGGAAAGGUUUGUUUCUAAGUGUGUCAAUUUUUUCUUUCUCCAGAAUUUGUAUGCGUUGAAUUAACGGGUUUGUCUGUUUUUGCAUAUUAAUGUUUUGAUGUUGGUGAGCUGUGGUGCUGGUCAUGUUGAAGUACACAAAAACAACGAGAGAAUCAGAGAUAGAAUUGUCGAAGGUCAGAAACAUGUUUCAAAUUGUAAUUUGUAUAGUAAUGCUUUUUCAAUACCAAUAUUUAAAGUCAGGGUCUAAUGAUGUGCCAAAUUCUUUGGUUGAGUAUCAGUCCGGGGUAAGUUAAAAUUUUAUGCGCUUGAAGUCUACUUAUAGUUCAUAUGAGUAAGUGGGAUUCAUUUCUUUUAAAGUAUGAGGUCAAGGUUAACGGCAUAGUGUCACUUAAAUGCUUGCUGAUUUUGCAAGCUUUAGGCAAAUAUCCCUUUAGCACUUGCAAACUAUCUAGACGGUCCGAACUGCCAUGAUAAUAGUUUAUAGGAUUGUAAUGUAUAGUCGUAUUUAGCCUCAAGUAAAAGACACAAUACUGUUGAAGUUACACGUUAAGGUACUUUUGGGUUGCAGAAGCAAAGAUACAUCUUAUAGAGGUUUAGCUGUUUGGUACAUGGUACUUAUAGUGCUGCUUUCCUAGGCGGGCUCUUUCGGCUGUCCAAAUUAUCCAAUAAAUUUGUGGGUUUCGGAAAGGCACGGCAGGCGUAUCGCGCGUGCAUCUAGAGACUAAAUUCCAGGUUAUUCAUAGCCAAUGUUUAUCGGAUCAUUUAUCUAACGUUUAUGUUUUUUAAUAUUAUAUCUCCCUUUACUAUCAUAGGGUAUCAGAGACCAAAUUCUAGGCAUCUCCGAGCUGCUAAUGGAGAUGCAACACAUAUGGUAUCAAAGACUUGAGCACACCAAGUAUAUUCAUGUAAUGGCACUGAGGUCAUUGAUCUUUUGCUAUGAUCUCACUGAAUUCCUCGGACGCAGAAACGGUCUUAAAGCUAUGAUCACCACGGUGCAUGCUUUCAGUAAGGCCGGCAUGGAAGCGUCAGGCCUCAUAUUGGAACUGAAAUAUGUGCACAAUUGUCACCAAUUCCUUGAUUUUUGACUCUCGGACAUCGAUUGCUGUGUGUGAUCUCAUAGCUAAAAGCGGCUCAUGUGUAAUGCUACUGUUGGAUACUGUAUAUGAGAAUCCUUAAAAGUUCUUCUGAAUCCAAGCUGCUUUUAACGUGACGACAAUGAAGAAUUCUGAAUGUGGUUUUGGCCGACUUCUAAAAACAUGUCAUAGUUAUCUGAUUGUUAAUUACUUGAUUUAUUCAUACCAACUUAGCCAUUUGUCCAACUAUUUUUACACUGUAUUGGUUAUUGUCUAUAUAUUUCCACUUUUACA